rnacentral:lncRNA from 13 species
CGGAGCCGGAGGCAGCCCGAACAGGGGAGGCGGGGAGACGGCGCGGCCCCGAGCGCUACCCAGCGGCCGCGGAGGGAGCGGGCGCGUCCCCACCGGCCGCCCCCGGGGCUGCCGGGGUCCCACCGCGUCCCCAAGGGCGCUAAGGGACAGAUCCGGACCUGUGGCACCGUGUCCCCAGGGUCCCCAAGGGCGCUGGGCACUGCCCCGCACCAGCGGGUCCCCGCGGUGCCCAAGGGGACAGGCAGCGCCCUGGGAGGGGGCGCUGGGAUGCGUUGGGGUGGAUUUGUAAGCUCGUUUUUCCUCCAUGUGACUCCAUGGGCUCCCGGAGCCUUUGGAGCUGCUGGAGAAGGAGGAGGAGGAGGAGGAAGGGGGAGGAAGGGGGAGGGUUCUCACUGACCGGUCCGCACCAAGGGGCUUCACAGCACCCCCAAAGCAGGAGGUUAAACCCCCCCCCGAUCCCUUCACGGCGCCUCCCGAGCAGAAUCCGAAGGGGUUUUUAAUCUAAAACUGGCAGUCGGAGGGUGAAUUAAGGCCGUUAAUUGAAUUUCCUCCGGCGGCGGAGCCGGGCCGGGGGGAGGCGGCAGGAAACGCAUUUGAUGUCUUGGAAAAGCUGCGGAUUCCGAGCGUGGUGGGGUUUGGGGUUGGGAUUUUUUUUAUUAUUUUUUUUUUAAUUUCUUUUUUUAAUUUAAAGUCGGUCAUAAAAAGAGCCCGGCUUUGAGGAGCUAAUGACUCUCAUGAAUUAUUUUUGUUGAUUUAGGCACCCACUCGGCUUUAAAUAUUAUUAAUAAAGGAAAAGUGAUUGCAGUCCCUGGGAGGGGCGGGAAUGAUGCUGCUCCAGGGGUGCAGGGGAGGGGGGACAGGCACCCCCUGACCCACCCCAGCCCCUUCCCCUGCUCCCAUGUGAGGCCAAGCUGCGCUUUGGGAGACAGACGGAUUCCGUGGGCUGCGGGUGGAUAAGGAAUUGGCUGGAAUGUCGCAUCCAGAGGGUCGUGGCCAAUGGCUCAGGGGCCUGAUGGACAUCAGGGAGCGGUGGUGACCCUCAGGGUCCUUACUGGGAGCAGUUUUAUUUCGUGUCUUCGUUAAUGAUGUAAAUGAUGGGAUCACAGCGUCACGGAAUCAUUGGGUGGGAAGAGACCCCAAACUCAUCCCAUUCCACCCUCUUCCACCGGCCCAGGCUGCUCCAAACCCCGUCCAACCCGGCCUGGGACACUGCCAGGGAUGGAGCAGGGUGAGCCUUAAGGUCCCUCCCAACCCGAAUCGUUCCACGAUCCCACAAAAAACCCGGGGAUUUUGGGGUGCCCGGACGGUGCCGCAGCUCCCCUCGGCAUCAGCAUUCAGCGCUGGUGCCAGAACGGGCACUUUUCAUGCCGGUUUAGUUUUAUUGUUAUGCCAAAAGCUUUAAUUCGGGGCUGUCGUCCUCCCGCGCCGCUGAUUUACGCUGCCAGGGGUUUAAUUACACCAUUCAGCAUUCCUUAAAACAUGAAAAACCGCUCAAGUUUGGGAGCAAUUAAAAGGCAGCGGAGUAGAUCAGCCCAUCAGAGAGGAGAUAAGUAAAUCAAACAAUUAAAAAGCUCGUUCGGUGGCCAGGGAGAAGGGUCCCACCCCAAAAUCGUCUCCUGGGUGGGAGCCCUGGGCUGGGAGCUGUGGGUUUCACCCCAGUAGCUGGGCUGGUGUACUGGGAGCUGCUGGGGGGAUUGUGACCCCAUCCAGCAUCCCUUAGGAGCAUCCCAGCACCCCCAAAGACCUGCCCAGCCACACUUAGGGCUUGGCAGGAUGGGGAUGGGAAGCGCAGGACAGUGACAGGAUGGGCUUCCUGCCCCUCGCCACUCAUCCCCAAGGAUUCUGAGUUUUGGGGUGGUUUGUACGGCUUUGGGGUUUUCAGCGGGAUUGAAGCUCUCUCUUGUGGCAAAACCUGUCCAUUACAGCCCUACUCGGGCUAUCGAGCCGCAGCAUCUCCCGGGGUUCCCUGGGGCAGGGCUGAGAUGGAAUCUUAGAUGGCUAAUCCCCCCGAGAGAUUCUGAGACUCGGGAAACAGCAAGCAGCCCGCCCAGGCAGCCCUGCUCCCCGUUCCCGGCCGUGCCCGGCUGGCUCCUGGAGGCCGGAGGUGCCCAAAAUCCCCUCCGCAGCCCCCCCGCCCGCACUGGCGGCUGAGCCCCCGCCAACUCAUCACAGAUGCCGCCGCCGCGGUCGCGAUCGGGAGCUUUUUGCCCGCCGCCCGCACCGUAGGCCAUAAAGGCCCGGAUGCGGAAGAGCCGCGCUCAUUUCCGGUCUGUACGCGGCGGCUGCGGGUGAGCGAUGGCGGCCGGGGGGCGGGGGGAGGCAGGGGAGAUCCGCCGCCAUCCGCGGCCUCGCG